AGAGUUUGAUCAUGGCUCAGAGUGAACGCUGGCGGCGUGCUUAACACAUGCAAGUCGAACGAUGAAGCUUUAGCUUGCUAGAGUGGAUUAGUGGCGCACGGGUGAGGAAUAUAUAGCUAAUGUGCCCCUUAGAGGGGGAUAACAGUUGGAAACGACUGCUAAUACCCCAUACUCCUUCUUACUAUAAGGUAAGUUGGGAAAGUUUUUUCGCUAAGGGAUCGGGCUAUACGGUAUCAGCUUGUUGGUGAGGUAAUGGCUCACCAAGGCUAUGACGCCUAUCUGGUCUGAGAGGAUGAUCAGACACACUGGAACUGAGACACGGUCCAGACUCCUACGGGAGGCAGCAGUGGGGAAUAUUACACAAUGGAGGAAACUCUGAUGUAGCAACGCCGCGUGGAGGAUGACACAUUUCGGUGCGUAAACUCCUUUUAUAUGGGAAGAUAAUGACGGUACCAUAUGAAUAAGCACCGGCUAACUCCGUGCCAGCAGCCGCGGUAAUACGGAGGGUGCAAGCGUUACUCGGAAUCACUGGGCGUAAAGCGCGCGCAGGCGGCCCGUUAAGUUGGAUGUGAAAUCCUAUGGCUCAACCAUAGAACUGCAUCCAAAACUGAUGGGCUAGAGUCUGGGAGGGGAAGAUGGAAUUAGUGGUGUAGGGGUAAAAUCCGUAGAGAUCACUAGGAAUACCAAAAGCGAAGGCGAUCUUCUGGGAACAGUACUGACGCUGAGGCGCGAAAGCGUGGGGAGC
rnacentral:rRNA from 1 species